UAUAGAGUGCCUGAUUAAAGGAUAAUUUUGAUAGAAUUAAUGACGUGUGCCAACACCUCUAUAA
rnacentral:tRNA from 1 species